rnacentral:tRNA from 1 species
CAAGUUAUACCUUAGGGGUAAUAUUAUUUACAUUAAUAUUUUGGUUCGUGCGAUUCGGCCUGGCUUGA